AGAGUUUGAUCAUGGCUCAGAUUGAACGCUGGCGGCAGGCCUAACACAUGCAAGUCGAGCGGUAGCACAGAGAGCUUGCUCUCGGGUGACGAGCGGCGGACGGGUGAGUAAUGUCUGGGAAACUGCCUGAUGGAGGGGGAUAACUACUGGAAACGGUAGCUAAUACCGCAUAAUGUCGCAAGACCAAAGUGGGGGACCUUCGGGCCUCAUGCCAUCAGAUGUGCCCAGAUGGGAUUAGCUAGUAGGUGGGGUAACGGCUCACCUAGGCGACGAUCCCUAGCUGGUCUGAGAGGAUGACCAGCCACACUGGAACUGAGACACGGUCCAGACUCCUACGGGAGGCAGCAGUGGGGAAUAUUGCACAAUGGGCGCAAGCCUGAUGCAGCCAUGCCGCGUGUGUGAAGAAGGCCUUCGGGUUGUAAAGCACUUUCAGCGGGGAGGAAGGCGUUAAGGUUAAUAACCUUGGCGAUUGACGUUACCCGCAGAAGAAGCACCGGCUAACUCCGUGCCAGCAGCCGCGGUAAUACGGAGGGUGCAAGCGUUAAUCGGAAUUACUGGGCGUAAAGCGCACGCAGGCGGUCUGUCAAGUCGGAUGUGAAAUCCCCGGGCUCAACCUGGGAACUGCAUUCGAAACUGGCAGGCUAGAGUCUUGUAGAGGGGGGUAGAAUUCCAGGUGUAGCGGUGAAAUGCGUAGAGAUCUGGAGGAAUACCGGUGGCGAAGGCGGCCCCCUGGACAAAGACUGACGCUCAGGUGCGAAAGCGUGGGGAGCAAACAGGAUUAGAUACCCUGGUAGUCCACGCCGUAAACGAUGUCGAUUUGGAGGUUGUGCCCUUGAGGCGUGGCUUCCGGAGCUAACGCGUUAAAUCGACCGCCUGGGGAGUACGGCCGCAAGGUUAAAACUCAAAUGAAUUGACGGGGGCCCGCACAAGCGGUGGAGCAUGUGGUUUAAUUCGAUGCAACGCGAAGAACCUUACCUGGUCUUGACAUCCACAGAACUUUCCAGAGAUGGAUUGGUGCCUUCGGGAACUGUGAGACAGGUGCUGCAUGGCUGUCGUCAGCUCGUGUUGUGAAAUGUUGGGUUAAGUCCCGCAACGAGCGCAACCCUUAUCCUUUGUUGCCAGCGGUUCGGCCGGGAACUCAAAGGAGACUGCCAGUGAUAAACUGGAGGAAGGUGGGGAUGACGUCAAGUCAUCAUGGCCCUUACGACCAGGGCUACACACGUGCUACAAUGGCAUAUACAAAGAGAAGCGACCUCGCGAGAGCAAGCGGACCUCAUAAAGUAUGUCGUAGUCCGGAUUGGAGUCUGCAACUCGACUCCAUGAAGUCGGAAUCGCUAGUAAUCGUAGAUCAGAAUGCUACGGUGAAUACGUUCCCGGGCCUUGUACACACCGCCCGUCACACCAUGGGAGUGGGUUGCAAAAGAAGUAGGUAGCUUAACCUUCGGGAGGGCGCUUACCACUUUGUGAUUCAUGACUGGGGUGAAGUCGUAACAAGGUAACCGUAGGGGAACCUGCGGUUGGAUCACCU
rnacentral:rRNA from 15 species